rnacentral:rRNA from 1 species
UACAGAGGUCUCAAGCGUUGUUCGGAUUCAUUGGGCGUAAAGGGUGCGUAGGCGGCGCGGUAAGUCGGAUGUGAAAUCUCCGGGCUUAACUCGGAACGGUCAAGUGAUACUGUCGUGCUAGAGUACAGAAGGGGCAACUGGAAUUCUCGGUGUAGCGGUGAAAUGCGUAGAUAUCGAGAGGAACACCUGCGGCGAAGGCGGGUUGCUAGGCUGACACUGACGCUGAAGCGCGAAAGCCAGGGGAGCGAACGGGG